AUGAGUGCAGGCAGCCUGAGGCAGGGGGGGAAGAAGAGUGAGACACCUCGUGUGGAGACCCACCAGAGCCAGGUGCAGGCUGCUUGUUACUGCUCCAUCCAACCCUGCACGCCUGGAGGAAACCUUGCAGCUACUUUGCAGACACAGGCAUCAAAGGGAGAAAACAACAUGACCACAACGCUGCCUGCACUUUAUUUCAACUGCCUUGUUGCCACGUCAAGCAGAACAUCAGGGCAAGGUGGGAGAGAGCAAGCACGAGGGAGAGAAGGAACACGGGGCAUGCAAAGCAGAAAUAGAAAUGCAAAACAAAAAACUAUAGCAGAGGAGAUCAAGAACAAAAGAGGCAAAUUCAGGAGACAGGCACUAGUGAAGCUGACAGGUGAAGCGAUGCGAGGAGCGCAUACAUGACUGGAUUUCAGUAGGCAUGAUGAUGCUCUCAUUCCUAUCAAAAUGGCUGUCGCAUGAAUGCCUUCUCUGUGCCUCUCUAUUUACCCUUUGCUGAAACAAGGCUCGAACAGCUCCCAGCCUGGGACAAUAGGCAGCCAUUCAAAACUUAACAAUAGUCUGUAAGUCUAUUGAGAGCAGCUUUGACAGAUGGGCACUGCUGGAUUUAGAUGUGCUGGCUUGCACCGCUCCUGCCUGCUGCUCGCAGUCCCGCGCAUUAGUGUAAGCCGCCCUCCUUGGGUUCACCGUCUCUUUGGCAAUCACAUAACCCCGGGGAUUAAGCAGCAAGCAGAGUGCCUGUUCAGCAAAGGCCUGGAAGAGGUUGUGCGCGAGCUAGAGGAGGGACAAAAAAAGAAAGAGCAAACUGGAGGAGGACAGGCAGGACCCCCGCACGAGGUAUCCUGUUUGCAAAGCCCGCAGGCUUCAAAUGCGUCAGCAACCCCACGCAGCAGCUCCCCAAAUCUGGAGCUCACCUGACCAGAUGUAAAUGUCAGCACAGAGUUAUCACCAGGGCCACCUGCACCAUCCACGGAGAGAAAUGGGCACUUGUCAGGCACCUUCCACCCAUCCCUCUGGAAGCUGGGGUCUGACGGCGGUCAGACGUGCUGCCCCCUUCAUUAACCAGAGCUUAGGGUUACCAGCCCAGACAUAAAUUUCUCUGCCAUUGGCAUAGAAACUUAGGUGAAAUUAAUCCCAAGACAGUGCACGUGGUGCUUGCUUGUCAUGCUGCCAGCUCCAUGCCAGCAGCUCUUUGGCAAAGAUGAAUAAAUAUCCCUUUGACAGUCUGAUGAUUAAAAUU
rnacentral:lncRNA from 1 species